rnacentral:rRNA from 1 species
CGGACGGGUGAGUAAUGUAUAGGAACUUGCCUAGUAGUGGGGGACAACGUGUGGAAACGCACGCUAAUACCGCAUACGCUCUACGGAGGAAAGCGGGGGAUCUUCGGACCUCGUGCUACUAGAUGGGCCUAUAUUGGAUUAGCUAGUUGGUAAGGUAAAGGCUCACCAAGGCGACGAUCCGUAGCUGGUCUGAGAGGACGAUCAGCCACACUGGGACUGAGACACGGCCCAG